UACGUAGGGUGCGAGCGUUAAUCGGAAUUACUGGGCGUAAAGCGUGCGUAGGCGGUUCGCUGUGUCCGAUGUGAAAGCCCCGGGCUUAACCUGGGAAUGGCAUUGGAAACUGGCGGGCUUGAGUGCGGCAGAGGGGGGUGGAAUUCCGCGUGUAGCAGUGAAAUGCAUAGAGAUGCGGAGGAACACCGAUGGCGAAGGCAGCCCCCUGGGUCGACACUGACGCUCAGGCACGAAAGCGUGGGGAGCAAACAGG
rnacentral:rRNA from 1 species